AACGAACGCUGGCGGCAGGCUUAACACAUGCAAGUCGAACGCAUCCUUCGGGGUGAGUGGCAGACGGGUGAGUAACGCGUGGGAACGUGCCCUUCAGUUCGGGAUAACCCAGGGAAACUUGGGCUAAUACCGGAUACGUGCGAGAGCAGAAAGAUUUAUCGCUGAAGGAUCGGCCCGCGUCUGGUUAGCUAGUUGGUGGGGUAAUGGCCCACCAAGGCGACGAUCAGUAGCUGGUCUGAGAGGAUGAUCAGCCACAUUGGGACUGAGACACGGCCCAAACUCCUACGGGAGGCAGCAGUGGGGAAUAUUGGACAACGGGCGCAAGCCUGAUCCAGCCAUGCCGCGUGAGUGAUGAGGGCCUUAGGGUUGUAAAGCUCUUUCGUCCGGGACGAUAAUGACGGUACCGGAAGAAGAAGCCCCGGCUAACUUCGUGCCAGCCGCCGCAGUAAGAC
rnacentral:rRNA from 1 species